rnacentral:antisense_RNA from 1 species
AGAUUAGGUGGCGCUGGCGGGGCAGCCGAAAGGCUGGCCGAUGUCGUUGAGGUCGGUAUUCCUACCCCCGCCAGUGUCACCACCUAC